rnacentral:rRNA from 1 species
AAACUCACCAGGUCAGGACACGGUAAGGAUUGACGGACUGAAGGCUCUUUCUCGAUUCCGUGGAAAGUGGUGCAUGGCCGUUUUGGUUGGUGGAUCGAUCCGUCUGGUUAAUUCCGUUAACGAACGAGACCUCGGCACUCCGAAUAGCGCGGCGGACGUCGCGGCCUCCGGGCCGUCUUCCGCACGAGCUUCUUAGAGGGACCGUCCCCCCGCCGGGGAAGGAGGUGCGAGGCAACGACAGGUCUGUGAUGCCCUUAGAUGUUCUGGGCCGCACGCGCAUUACACUGACGCGUCCAACGGGUGACUCCCGACCCGAAGGGGCCGGGGAAUCCGCAAGGCGCGUCGUGAUGGGGAUUGAACGUUGCAAUUGUUGUUCACGAACGAGGAAUUCCUAGUAGGCGCGGGUCAUCAACCCGCGCCGAUUACGUCCCUGCCCUUUGUACACACCACCC